UGGUCAAGCGAAUAAGCGCACACGGUGGAUGCCUAGGCGGUCAGAGGCGAUGAAGGACGUGGUAGCCUGCGAAAAGUGUCGGGGAGUUGGCAACAAGCUUUGAUCCGGCAAUAUCCGAAUGGGGAAACCCACUGCUUCGGCAGUAUCCUGCAGUGAAUUCAUAGCUGCUGGAAGCGAACCCGGU
rnacentral:rRNA from 1 species